GAUGAAGAACGUAGCGAAAUGCGAUAAGUAAUGUGAAUUGCAGAAUCCAGUGAAUCAUCGAAUCUUUGAACGCACAUUGCGCCCGCCAGCAUUCUGGCGGGCAUGCCUGUUCGAGCGUCAUUUCAACCCUCGACCUCCCUUUGGGGAAGUCGGCGUUGGGGACCGGCAGCACACCGCCGGCCCUGAAAUGGAGUGGCGGCCCGUCCGCGGCGACCUCUGCGUAGUAAUCCAACUCGCACCGGAACCCCGACGCGGCCACGCCGUAAAACACCCAACUUCUGAACGUUGACCUCGAAUCAGGUAGGACUACCCGCUGAACUUAAGCAUAUCAAUCGGAGGA
rnacentral:misc_RNA from 1 species